CCCAUCCGUAUUCAAUCUAACCAAAUUCUCUAUAUUUGUAUGGGAUUUGUACUUUUCGCACUCCCUGCAAUGUCUCAGUCACCCCCUGAAAUGACUAAACUAUCCUUCUCGCUUUGUAGGAUGCGAGCACGUCGAUCGCGUUGCAGAAAGCGAGGGGUUAUAUGUAGGUGACCUUUGAAUUCACCCACCCCCCAGACAUUUAACAUGUUCUCUAUCUAAGAUGCGAACACAUCUUAUUUUAAAAGCAUCGCCGUCUAGGAUGCGAACACGUCUUAAUUAUAAGACGUCUUCAUCUUCUUCUUUCCCAUUUCAACAAUUUCUAAAAAACUAGGAGGAGUAUUGGCCUACUGGUAAACUGGUAAAAUUGAAGGUUUAUUGGCCGUUUGUGGUUGAAAACAACAAAAGGAAGUUAUGUUUUAAAACACAAUACUCACAAACCCAUUGCCCAAACCCUCAAUUCUCCCAAAACCUUAGUUCGUCGAAAUUGAAGGUUUCUUUGUCGUUUAGGGUCGCAAUAAUCAAAGGAGCAAAGAGUACUAUAAGGUAAAAGCUUCCUUCCCGUUUAUUUUUCUAUAUGCAUGACUGUUUUGGUUCGCGUUGUCGUCGGCGAACAGUGAACCUGUGUUCGCUUACCGAAAAGUGAUACGAAUUAAUCGUUCGCUUCACAGUAAGCGAGCGUAUAUUCUGCCUGUUGUUUCUUUUGUUGUCAUUUGGUUUGGAUAGUAGGUGUAGGAAUAAAUUGCUUUGUUUUUUUUUGCUUGUUUGUGAUGUUUAGAUAUGGGAAAUACAUCCAAAGAUGCUGAUAGAGGGAACGUGCCACCAAGGCUAGUGCAUCUGCCAGGAAGGAAAAGGCGGCUCAGAAUCCUCCGAAGAAGCGGUCACGGAAAGCUCCAGCUAUGUCAGAUGCUGCUGAGACUGUUCACCCUUAGCAUGAGGCUACGAAUGUGCAGAUUCAGGGUGAUGGUGUAGUGCGUGAGAUGGAGG
rnacentral:lncRNA from 1 species